AGCCCAGGGCAGCACCAGGUGAGAGCACACCCAGAAGGGCAUCCACCGUCUGAAGCACAAGAGGAAGAAAAGGAGGGAUAAAACUCAUCAAGAGAAUUCUGGCACAGAGAGGAAGAAGAUAAGAGAGACGGAAAACACGCGACACCAUAGGCGAGUGACUCAGGCAGUAGAGGCAGUAGAGGAGUAGAUUGCCUGUAGAUACCUUGGAAGAGACCCUUCUCAUGAUCCUACCACCACUGGAGGCAUUUGGAAAGAAGCUGAGAGAUACCAGCAUGUUGAUCCCACAAAGAGAUGCCUGCCACAAUCAACCUACCUUUCAGAGUCAAUCCAACCAGCAUUGCCACAAAGUGGACUGGAAGCAGGAUGCCAGUCAUGAUGAAGUGAUGUAAAAGACAGAGGCUAUUACUUCCUGAAGGGCAUAACUGGCAUGGGAUGCCAAGCCACUGACUGAAUAAUUUGAUAAAGCCCGGGCACAGGUUGAAGACAAGCAACGGAAUCAAGCAGCGUAAUGAAACAGAAGAGAGGGGAAGAGAGGCAUCUCAUUUCCGAAUUACAACACCAUACGGUUGUUCACUGUGAAUGGCAUCGUGGUAAAAGGCAGGGGGAGGAGAAAAGCAUCUCCAGAUGAUCACGUGGCUUCCUGCAUUUACCCACAGAGUAUGGAUCAGUGUGGCCUACACAUGUUGCCCUGUUGGAAAGCAAAUGAGAGUACUGGAGCGGCAAAUGUCCACCCUCAAGGGAAUGAGAGACAACAGCGUUCUUAGAGCUGAAAAAGCAAAGUGAAGAGAAACAGCAAGCCAAGGCAGAAGAGGAAAAUCCUGAUGCAAGGGAAAAUGAAGAAGAGACAGGAGCAGAACAAGUAGAAGUUACUGCUCCAGUGGAAGCAGUGUGACUAUGGCAUUGCCUUCAGUACUUGAGGAGAAGGCUGGAGGGCAGAGAUCGGAGGGCAGCCUACAGAGGAGGAAUUGCAGGGUGCCCUGCAAGAUGCCAAAGGUCAAUCGAGCAGAGGUGAUGACAUCGAGGCCUCUAAGAGGGGAAUGUCGUGAGCAGUUCUCUCCCACCUCCUUUCCCUUUCUGGCAGUGUCAGUUGAACCUUGAGAAGCACAGUCCCUUUAUUAAAACUUAACAGAUUGCAGAGGAGUAAUAAAGUAGAUUUCUCCUUGAGAUGGAGGAGUAGCA